rnacentral:tRNA from 1 species
UCUGAUAUGGUGUAGUGGUUAACAUAUCGCGUUUUCACCGCGGGGCCCGGGGUUCGAUUCCCCGUAUCGGAG